UACGAAGGGGGCUAGCGUUGCUCGGAAUCACUGGGCGUAAAGCGCAUGUAGGCGGCUUUCUAAGUCAGAGGUGAAAUCCUGGAGCUCAACUCCAGAACUGCCUUUGAUACUGGAAAGCUUGAGUCCGGGAGAGGUGAGUGGAACUGCGAGUGUAGAGGUGAAAUUCGUAGAUAUUCGCAAGAACACCAGUGGCGAAGGCGGCUCACUGGCCCGGUACUGACGCUGAGGUGCGAAAGCGUGGGGAGCAAACAGG
rnacentral:rRNA from 1 species